rnacentral:rRNA from 1 species
AUGCACGCUGGCGGCGUGCCUAAUACAUGCAAGUCGAGCGAACAGACGAGGAGCUUGCUCCUCUGACGUUAGCGGCGGACGGGUGAGUAACACGUGGAUAACCUACCUAUAAGACUGGGAUAACUUCGGGAAACCGGAGCUAAUACCGGAUAAUAUAUUGAACCGCAUGGUUCAAUAGUGAAAGACGGUUUUGCUGUCACUUAUAGAUGGAUCCGCGCCGCAUUAGCUAGUUGGUAAGGUAACGGCUUACCAAGGCAACGAUGCGUAGCCGACCUGAGAGGGUGAUCGGACACACUGGAACUGAGACACGGUCCAGACUCCUACGGGAGGCAGCAGUAGGGAAUCUUCCGCAAUGGGCGAAAGCCUGACGGAGCAACGCCGCGUGAGUGAUGAAGGUCUUCGGAUCGUAAAACUCUGUUAUUAGGGAAGAACAAAUGUGUAAGUAACUAUGCACGUCUUGACGGUACCUAAUCAGAAAGCCACGGCUAACUACGUG